GACGAACGCUGGCGGCGUGCUUAGCACAUGCAAGUCGAACGGAAAGGCCCUGCUUUUGUGGGGUGCUCGAGUGCCGAACGGGUGAGUAACACGUGAGUAACAUGCCCCUGACUUUGGGGUAACUUUAGGAAACUGGGGCUAAUACCGGAUAGGAUCUCCUGCUCCAUGUUGUUGGUUGGUGAGUUUCGGCGGUUGGGGAUGGACUCGCGGCUUAUCCGCUUUAUUGUGGGGUAGGUGCUUACCAAGGCUUUGACGGGUAGCCGGCCUGAGAGGGUUACCGGCCACAUUGGGACUGAGAUACGGACCAGACUGCUACGGGAGGCAGCAGUGGGGAAUAUUGCACAAUGGGCGGAAGCCUGAUGCAGCAACGCCGCGUGCGGGAUGACGUCCUUCGGGUUGUAAACCGCUUUCGCCUGUGACGAAGCGUGAGUGACGGUAAUGGGUAAAGAAGCACCGGCUAACUACGUG
rnacentral:rRNA from 1 species